ACGCUCGACACCUACGGGGCAGCAGUGGGGGAUAUUGCACAAUGGGGGAAACCCUGAUGCAGCAACGCCGCGUGAGGGAAGAAGGUUUUCGGAUUGUAAACCUCUGUCCUUGGUGACGAUAAUGACGGUAGCCAAGGAGGAAGCUCCGGCUAACUACGUGUCAGCAGCCGCGGUAAUCUGAGCGGGCUGGCAAGGC
rnacentral:rRNA from 1 species